GGACACGCAUGGGGACACAGGACACAGGGACACGCACAGGGACAUGCAUGAGGCACGUGGGGACAUGCAUGGGGACAUGCAUGGGGACACAGGAGAGAGGGACAUGCACAGGGACAUGCGUGGGGCAUGUGGGGACAUGCAUGGGGACAUGCACACAGACACGGGACAGAGGGACAUGCACAGGGACAUGCGUGGGGCACAUGGGGACACACACAGGGACAUACAUGGGGAUAUAGGCCAUGGGGACAUGCACAUGAACACAGGACAGACGGGGACAUGCACAGGGACAUGCAUGGGGCACAUGGGGACACGCAUGGAGACAUGCAUGGGGACAUACAUGGGGACACAGGACACAGGGACAUGCACCCCCGGGGACAUGCGUGGGGCACAUGGGGACAAAUAUGGGGACACACAUGGGGACACAGGACAGAGGGACAUGCACAGGGACAUGCAUGGGCACAUGGGGACACACAUGGGGACACGCAUGGGGAUGCACACCGUGGGGACAUGCAUAGGACAUGCACAGGGACAUGGAACACAGGGACAUGGAUGGGGACAUGCAUGGGCACAUGGGGACACAGGGACAUGCAUAGGACAUGCAUAGGGACAUGCAUGGGGACAUGCAUGGGGACAUGCAUGGAGGGACAUAAGGACACAUGGCAGACACAAAUGGGGACAUGGGGCAUGUGGGGACACACGUGAGGACACUCAUGUGGGGACACAUGAGGGGAUAGGGAACACGGGGACAUGCAUGGGGACACAGGAUACAGGGA